GUCUCCUGAACGCAGACCCAGCUUUAUCAGUUUUGCUCCUGGCUUUACUUUUCUAUGCUCUUUGCCACUUAAGUCUACAAAUAUUUGCUAAUAUUUGAUGUUACGCUAAAACCCACAUGGUUAGGGGGAUUGUAUCCUCAUACACUACUCAAUGAAGCAAAGAAGCAAACAAGAACAAGAACAGAACUACUCAACUGGUUAUUUCCAUGAUUCCUAAAAAUUACUAAAAUGCUUUUUCAAAAGGUAGAAUGGAUGUUUAAUGCAAGGCUUGAAGAGAUACUGGGGUGCCUUUUUCUGAUUCUGCCUGACACACACACACACACUCUAAAAAAAAAAAAAAAAAGAGUCUGCUGGAGUAUGGCACUGUGACUUGAACUGAAUGAGAAAUAAUUAGCUGUUAUGCUUCCUUUAGGUACUGGAAGACCUCAACAAAGUCUCCCUGGAACCUCCUCCAGGCUAAACAAGCCCAACUGUCUCAGCUGGUCUUUGUAGGAGAGAUGCUCCAUUCCUCUGAUCAUCUUCAUGGCCUUCCUCUGGACCCACUUCAACAGCUCCCUGUCUUUCUUAUGUUGAUGUCCACAGAGCUCAAUACAGUUCUCCAGGUGGGAUCUCACAAGAGAUGAGUCAAGGAAGCUAGGCACUUUCAUGAAGAGCUAGCAGAGUUUUGACGUGUUGAAGUAUAUUUAAAAUAUGUUAAUAUUUAAACCAUUAUCAAUAAAGAAAUAGAAAGCAG
ensembl:lncRNA